AAUGUAUCAUAAACUGUCAGAAGAUCCAGAGAGAAAGAGUGAGAAUGAAUUUCUGCUGUUGAAAUUCAAUAGAAAUAAAACUUAACUUUCUUCUUUGGGUGAUUGUCCACAUGUUUUCUACUCUUGGUGCACAUGCGUCCCAAAUGCACGAGAUAAGAUUUUGUCCGUUCGGGCCAUACUUUCUUGUUAUUACCUGUAACACCAAGAUGGAGCUUUGACAGUGUCUACCUGCUUUUCUGUGAUUGCUAGUGAUGAUUUAGUAUAGUUGUUGGGAAGGUAGUUAACUUUUAGUUUGCUCAUUGAUUGAAAAACUUGCAUCAUUAUUGCUCUGUUUUUCUUUUCUUUUCUUUUUGUUUUUAAGAUACUAGGAACAUUUGAAGGCUCUCUACUCAUUUUCCCCACCUUUUGGCAACUGCCUUUCUUUUUUUCAGGAAGCCUGGACUGGGAUCACCAUGGACCAGUGGGUCCAAGAGAUUGUCGGCAACAGCUUGAAGGAGUGUGUCUCACUGUUCCACCAACCACACUUGUGCCUUUUGGACCUCUCGUGGGAGCUCUGUAGCAACUGUCAACAUGUAUGGAUUCUUUUCUAAAGCAACAUCCAAAACUGCAACAACUUUUCAACUAAGGUAUGCAGUUUUAUUACCGAAGGCUGUCUGUGACUACUGCCUUUCCACUAUGCCUACUAUGUGAUACACAAGCACCUGGAGAUGACAGACUUAGUAUUAGGAUCUGUGUUUCUGUAGCUUGGAGACCUGCUUGCAAAGAAUCCAUAGUUUGCUUCCCCUUUGUAUAUUUGUGUGGAUCAUUGUAACUGAAUACAUUUAAUUCACAGCUGUAACAGAAGUGCUUUAGCUAGUGCAUCUGCUUUCAGUAAUACAACCUGAAUUAGAACUGUUUAUUCUUAAACUCAUUUUGAAAACUCUGGGAUCCUCUCUAACAUAAUUCAUAAUAGUUGAGUGUAAAUCUACAAAUAUCUUCAUAUUCCGUGUGUAUAUUCUUAUUAGUCUAAACCAACUGUUUUGACACUGAUACAUGCACCAGUACUUCGUUUCUUUGAUCCUAUGGGCUGUCUCCUUUGCCUUUUAAUGAAACUUUUUGGUAGGCUGUUAUAUACCACUACUGUGCAUCUCUUAUUCAACUGUUUGAGUUCUUACUAAACAAUGGAACUUAAGUUGGGGAUUGAGCAGCAUCAGAGAUCACUGAGAGUUAGAACAUGCAUAGUUGCAUCGGAGGCAAUGGUUACGGCCAAGUAUAGCAAACCAAAAUUUUAUUCUAAAAGACCAGCAUAUUUGUUUAAACCAGAAGCCCACAGCCUUCUUAAAGUGUUUGCUAUAUUGGUAUCUAACUUGGUACUCUCACUGCCUCAAAGUAGACCUAGACAUAGAUAAAUCCUGGAGCUUUGUGUCUUGCAGCAUCUGUGCAGUUGUCAGCACUUUCUGAUGUCUUACAUUCUACUCAUAAAUGAGUAUUAGUAAACCACAUAUUAUUAUUUUUGGUUAAAUCAACUGUCUGUUUAUGAUGUAGACUGCAGCUUGAUGUCCCUUAGAGAACUUCUCAGACCUUUUAAUAGGGUGGACUACAUCUUAAUAUAGUGUAACAUGGGUACACCCCCCUUCCCAAUUACAGUCAAUUAACAUUCCUGUUUAAAGUGCAAUAAUUACUUAUCUGGAAAAGUGGUAAUAUUUCUUUUAAUUUCCAGUUGCUAAAAUGUACAAGAUGGAGAGCAUCACCAUGUGACCAAUAAUAAGAAUUGGUUGUCUAGAGCUUGUAUUAUACUGUACAUCAUAAUGUAUCUCUGUCUUGUCAGUAAAACUGCUACUUUCUUUCCUUGAUUGUUUAUAUCCAUUCAUACCCUUGGAUAUGGUUCCUUCCAGCCACCAGAUGAUGUCCAGUGUCAUGACAUUAUCCAGCCCCUACACAGUAAGCUUAUAGACCUCAGUUGUUUCCAACAGGUGUAGAACUAGCAUUCUUUAGCUACCUAACUAAAUAGCUUGAACAAAGAAGGUGGCGGAGGAGUAAAUUUCAGAAAAUUCGGAAGAUUAAUGAUCCUACAUUAGUGUGCAGCUUUUCCUGCUAUGCUAAGUGAAAACUGGCUUGCAGUAGCUGAUAUUAUCUAUUACAGCAGGAGUGGCCAGCCUGAGCCUGAGAAGCAGCCAGAAUUUACCAAUG